GACGAACGCUGGCGGCGUGCUUAACACAUGCAAGUCGAACGGUGAAGCGCCUUCCUUUUUGGUGGGUGUGGAUGAGUGGCGAACGGGUGAGUAACACGUGAGUAACCUGCCCCCUUCUGCUGGAUAACCGCAUGAAAGUGUGGCUAAUACGGGAUAUUCUGCGUCUGUCGCAUGAUGGGUCUGGGAAAGAUAUUGUUUCGGUGGGGGAUGGGCUCGCGGUCUAUCAGCUUGUUGGUGGGGUGAUGGCCUACCAAGGCGGUGACGGGUAGCCGGCCUGAGAGGGUGGCCGGUCACACUGGGACUGAGACACGGCCAAGACUGCUACGGGAGGCAGCAGUGGGGAAUAUUGCACAAUGGGCGCAAGCAUGAUGCAGCGACGCCGCGUGAGGGAUGGAGGCCUUCGGGUUGUGAACCUCUUUCGCCAGUGAAGCAGGCCUGCCUUGUUUGUGGGUGGGUUGACGGUAGCUGGAUAAGAAGCGCCGGCUAACUACGUG
rnacentral:rRNA from 1 species